rnacentral:rRNA from 1 species
GCGUGAGUGAUGAAGGCCUUCGGGUCGUAAAGCUCUGUCGGGAGGGAAGAAUGUAUCCGGGUCAAUACCCCGGAUCCUUGACGGUACCUCCAAAGGAAGCUCCGGCUAACUCCGUGCCAGCAGCCGCGGUAAUACGGAGGGAGCAAGCGUUGUUCGGAAUCAUUGGGCGUAAAGCGAGUGUAGGUUGUUGGAUAAGUAGGAUGUGAAAGCCCGGGGCCUAACCCCGGAACUGCAUUCUAAACUGUUCAGCUAGAGUCCCGGAGAGGGUGGCGGAAUUCCGAGUGUAGAGGUGAAAUUCGU